rnacentral:rRNA from 1 species
AUACCGGAUGACUCUGACGGCUGCACUGAGGAGUGGUGGCUGCGCGCAAGAGCAGGCAUUUCCAAGCCAAUGCGCAGGAACUUUGACACUAUUACAAUUCUGUUGCACUGGAGGCUAUGGAAAGAGAGGAACUCCAGAGUUUUUGACCAAGUGGCGAGCAGUGCUGAAAGAGUCCUGGACUUGAUACGGGAAGACAUAGCAGUAUGGCGCUCAGCAGGCUGCAUAUAUAGCAGACUUUGGUUCCUAGCGAGUCAUUGGCAUUUGUACGGUGUUGUAAUCGUUAUAUUGUGGGGUUUGUCAGACUCUGGUUUCUAG